AGUGAACGCUGGCGGUAGGCCUAACACAUGCAAGUCGAGCGCAGGAAAUCGACGGAACCCUUCGGGGGGAAGUCGACGGAAUGAGCGGCGGACGGGUGAGUAACACGUAAAGAACCUGCCCUCAGGUCUGGGAUAACCACAAGAAAUCGGGACUAAUACCGGAUGGGUCAUCGGACCGCAUGGUCCGAGGAUGAAAGGCGCUUCGGCGUCGCCUGGGGAUGGCUUUGCGGUGCAUUAGCUAGUUGGUGGGGUAAUGGCCCACCAAGGCGACGAUGCAUAGCCGACCUGAGAGGGUGAUCGGCCACACUGGGACUGAGACACGGCCCAGACUCCUACGGGAGGCAGCAGUAGGGAAUCUUCCACAAUGGACGAGAGUCUGAUGGAGCAACGCCGCGUGGACGAUGAAGGCCUUCGGGUCGUAAAGUUCUGUUGUAAGGGAAGAACAAGUGCCGCAGGCAAUGGCGGCACCUUGACGGUACCUUGCGAGAAAGCCACGGCUAACUACGUGCCAGCCGCCGCCGUAA
rnacentral:rRNA from 1 species